AUUGAACGCUGGCGGCAGGCCUAACACAUGCAAGUCGAGCGAGCGGCGGCCGGGUGAGUAAUGUCUGGGAAACUGCCUGAUGGAGGGGGAUAACUACUGGAAACGGUAGCUAAUACCGCAUACCAUCAGAUGUGCCCAGAUGGGAUUAGCUAGUAGGUGGGGUAAUGGCUCACCUAGGCGACGAUCCCUAGCUGGUCUGCGAGGAUGACCAGCGAAACUGGAACUGAGACAAGGUCCAGACUCCUACGGGAGGCAGCAGUGGGGAAUAUUGCACAAUGGGCGCAAGCCUGAGGCAGCCAUGCCGCGUGUAUGAAGAAGGCCGUCGGGUUGUAAAGUACUUUCAGCGAGGAGGCGUUACUCGCAGAAGAAGCACCGGCUAACGCCGUGCCAGCAGCCGCGGUAAUAC
rnacentral:rRNA from 1 species